rnacentral:rRNA from 1 species
AUUGAACGCUGGCGGCAUGCCUUACACAUGCAAGUCGAACGGUAACGCGGGGCAACCUGGCGACGAGUGGCGAACGGGUGAGUAAUGUAUCGGAACGUGCCCAGUUGUGGGGGAUAACUGCUCGAAAGAGCAGCUAAUACCGCAUACGACCUGAGGGUGAGAGCGGGGGAUCGCAAGACCUCGCGCAAUUGGAGCGGCCGAUAUCAGAUUAGGUAGUUGGUGGGGUAAAGGCCCACCAAGCCAACGAUCUGUAGCUGGUCUGAGAGGACGACCAGCCACACUGGGACUGAGACACGGCCCAGACUCCUACGGGAGGCAGCAGUGGGGAAUUUUGGACAAUGGACGCAAGCCUGAUCCAGCCAUGCCGCGUGCGGGAAGAAGGCCUUCGGGUUGUAAACCGCUUUUGUCAGGGAAGAAAAGGGCGACUUUAAUACAGUUGCCUCAUGACGGUACCUGAAGAAUAAGCACUGGCUAACUACGUGCCAGCCGCCGCUGUAACAC